AUCCUGAAGAUUAUCAUUAUUAUGCUACGGAUUUUUACAUAGAUAUCUGUUGGAACUUGAGCUGAUUCACGUAGUACGAGUCAUGUGAAAGCCGGAACCGUGGAAAGUGAACUAUGAGAGAGUGUGAUCAAUAUUUUUUUUAUUUAUUUCUUUUUAUUCACAAUUUGUACAAUUUGGACAUUUGGUAGAAUUUUUUAACAGUAAUAUUAUCAUGUCGGUGGCUACCCCCAGCGGAGUGCCAUCCUCGCGUUUGCUAGGUUAUAUCCUUUGUGAGGUCUGCUGAGUGUUUCCUUUUUAGUCUUCUUUCCAUGUUUGAGGCGUUGAUCGUCUCCGCAGCUAGCCGGUUUGAAUUCCAUUCAAAUGCCACAUUUAUUGUAAAUUGCGAUGAACUUGUUGACAUUCUUACAAACAUCGUGGUCCUUUCUCUAUUUCGUUGGUGUCGGAGUCCGUUCGAACUAGUCGACUAAUGACGGAAGUUAUUUAUGUUACAAAGAUAAGAAGCCGAACGCGUCUUUAAAUGACAGAUUUAACGCCAGUAUUACUCAGUUCAUAGAUCACUCGCAAUAUUUAAUUGCAAUAGUGUCUGUGCCGAUCAUUUCUUGCCUGCAAUGUUCAAACCAAAUUCCACAAAAAAUACGAAUAGAAGGAAAAGGUUGAAGAUCAAUGCCGUGCCCGAACCAUCAAAAUAUUUAUUAGAAAAUAAUGAAGAAAAAGAAAAUGUACAAAAAAGGCAGCUCGUGAUUAAAAAAGCAGAUGAUGAGAGAAGAAGAAGGUCAAAACGAAGACAAAUGACAUCAAUACCAUCACUAUCACUGCCAACAACAGCAAGUGAACGUGACGUAGUUUAUUGGUAUAGACGUUCUCUUUUCUUGGUGUCAAAAAUGACAUUGUGUAAAAAGUAAAUUUUAAUAAUUUCACACCACCUUCGUACACAUAUAGUGAGUAACUUUAAUAUUUGGAUAUAACAAAAUU